CACGGGAUACCUCAGUCAGUAGAGCCUGAGACUCUUAAUCUCAGGGUCAUGGGUUUGAGCCCUGUGUUGGGUGA